rnacentral:rRNA from 1 species
CCUCGGGUUGUAAAGCACUUUCAGUAGGGAGGAAGGUAGUGUAGUUAACACCUGCACAUUUGACGUUACCUACAGAAGAAGCACCGGCUAACUCCGUGCCAGCAGCCGCGGUAAUACGGAGGGUGCGAGCGUUAAUCGGAAUUACUGGGCGUAAAGCGCAUGCAGGCGGCCUGUUAAGUCAGAUGUGAAAGACCCGGGGCGUUAACCUCCGGAAUUGCAUUUGAAACUGGCAGGCUAGAGUCUUGUAGAGGGGGGUAGGAAUUUCAGGUGUAGCGGUGAAAUGCGUAGAGAUCUGAAGGAAUACCAGUGGCGAAGGCGGCCCCCUGGACAAAGACUGACGCUCAGAUGCGAAAGCGUGGGGAGCAAACAGGAUUAGAUACCCUGGUAG